rnacentral:rRNA from 1 species
AACGAACGCUGGCGGCGUGGAUAAGACAUGCAAGUCGAACGGGAACUUCAGCUGUAGCAAUACAGUUGAAGUUUUAGUGGCGAACGGGUGCGUAACACGUGGGCAAUCUGCCGAGAAGUGGGGGAUAGCUCGCCGAAAGGCGAAUUAAUACCGCAUAUGAUCAGCUAAGACAUCUUAGCGACAUCAAAGCCGGGGCAACCUGGCGCUUUUUGUAGGAGCCCGCGGCCUAUCAGCUUGUUGGUGGGGUGAUGGCCUACCAAGGCGACGACGGGUAGCCGGCCUGAGAGGGUGUCCGGCCACACUGGGACUGAGAUACGGCCCAGACUCCUACGGGAGGCAGCAGUGGGGAAUAUUGUACAAUGGGCGCAAGCCUGAUGCAGCGACGCCGCGUGAGGGAUGACGGCCUGUU